GAUCCUGGCUCAGAAUCAACGCUGGCGGCGUGCCUCAGACAUGCAAGUCGAACGAGAACCUCCCUUCGGGGAGGGGACAGUGGCGCACGGGUGAGUAACACGUGGGUAAUUUACCUUUGGGUGGGGAACAACAGCCGGAAACGGCUGCUAAUACCGCAUAAUGCAGCGGCAUCGCAAGAUGACAGUUGUUAAAGCGGGGGAUCGCAAGACCUCGCGCCUAAAGAGAAGCCCGCGGCGGAUUAGCUAGUUGGUAGGGUAAUGGCCUACCAAGGCAACGAUCUGUAACCGGCCUGAGAGGGCGGUCGGUCACACUGACACUGACAUACGGGUCAGACUCCUACGGGAGGCAGCAGUCGGGAAUUUUGGGCAAUGGGCGAAAGCCUGACCCAGCAACGCCGCGUGAAGGAUGAAGCUUUUCGGAGUGUAAACUUCACAAGAAUGGGAAGAAUAAGUGUGGGAUAAUACCCUUCACGAUGACGGUACCAUUUGUAAGCUCCGGCUAACUCCGUGCCAGCAGCCGCGGUAAUACGGGGGGAGCAAGCGUUGUUCGGAUUUACUGGGCGUAAAGGGCGCGUAGGCGGCGCGACAAGUCACUUGUGAAAUCUCUGAGCUCAACUCAGAACGGUCAAGUGAUACUGUCGUGCUAGAGUGCGGAAGGGGCAACUGGAAUUCUUGGUGUAGCGGUGAAAU
rnacentral:rRNA from 1 species